GCGAGCGGCGGAUGGGUGAGUAACACGUGGGGAACCUGCCCCUAAGUCUGGGAUACCAUUUGGAAACAGGUGCUAAUACCGGAUAAUAAAGCAGAUCGCAUGAUCAGCUUUUGAAAGGCGGCGUAAGCUGUCGCUAAGGGAUGGCCCCGCGGUGCAUUAGCUAGUUGGUAAGGUAACGGCUUACCAAGGCGACGAUGCAUAGCCGAGUUGAGAGACUGAUCGGCCACAUUGGGACUGAGACACGGCCCAAACUCCUACGGGAGGCAGCAGUAGGGAAUCUUCCACAAUGGACGCAAGUCUGAUGGAGCAACGCCGCGUGAGUGAAGAAGGUUUUCGGAUCGUAAAGCUCUGUUGUUGGUGAAGAAGGAUAGAGGUAGUAACUGGCCUUUAUUUGACGGUAAUCAACCAGAAAGUCACGGCUAACUACGUGCCAGCAGCCGCGGUAAUACGUAGGUGGCAAGCGUUGUCCGGAUUUAUUGGGCGUAAAGCGAGCGCAGGCGGAAAAAUAAGUCUAAUGUGAAAGCCCUCGGCUUAACCGAGGAACUGCAUCGGAAACUGUUUUUCUUGAGUGCAGAAGAGGAGAGUGGAACUCCAUGUGUAGCGGUGGAAUGCGUAGAUAUAUGGAAGAACACCAGUGGCGAAGGCGGCUCUCUGGUCUGCAACUGACGCUGAGGCUCGAAAGCAUGGGUAGCGAACAGGAUUAGAUACCCUGGUAGUCCAUGCCGUAAACGAUGAGUGCUAAGUGUUGGGAGGUUUCCGCCUCUCAGUGCUGCAGCUAACGCAUUAAGCACUCCGCCUGGGGAGUACGACCCCCAAGGUUGAAACUCAAAGGAAUUGACGGGGG
rnacentral:rRNA from 1 species